GAAUUCAACUCCUACGGGAGGCAGCAGUGGGGAAUAUUGGACGAUGGGCGCAAGCCUGAUCCAGCCAUGCCGCGUGAGUGAUGAAGGCCCUAGGGUUGUAAAGCUCUUUUGUGCGGGAAGAUAAUGACGGUACCGCAAGAAUAAGCCCCGGCUAACUUCGUGCCAGCAGCCGCGCUAAUACGAAGGGGGCUAGCGUUGCUCGGAAUCACUGGGCGUAAAGGAUGCGUAGGCGGGUCUUUAAGUCAGGGGUGAAAUCCUGGAACUCAACACCAGAACUGCCUUUGAUACUGAGGAUCUUGAGUUCGGGAGAGGUGAGUGGAACUGCGAGUGUAGAGGUGAAAUUCGUAGAUAUUCGCAAGAACACCAGUGGCGAAGGCGGCUCACUGGCCCGAUACUGACGCUGAGGCACGAAAGCGUGGGGAGCAAACAGGAUUAGAAACCCCAGUAGUCCAGGCGUU
rnacentral:rRNA from 1 species